rnacentral:rRNA from 1 species
AUUAUACAGCGAAACUGCGAAUGGCUCAUUAUAUAAGUUAUCGUUUAUUUGAUAGUACCUUACUACUUGGAUAACCGUGGUAAUUCUAGAGCUAAUACAUGCUAAAAAUCCCGACUUCGGAAGGGAUGUAUUUAUUAGAUUAAAAACCAAUGCCCUCUGGGCUCCUUGGUGAUUCAUAAUAACUUUUCGAAUCGCAUGGCCUUGCGCCGGCGAUGGUUCAUUCAAAUUUCUUCCCUAUCAACUUUCGAUGUUUGGGUAUUGGCCAAACAUGGUCGCAACGGGUAACGGAGGGUUAGGGCUCGACCCCGGAGAAGGAGCCUGAGAAACGGCUACUACAUCCAAGGAAGGCAGCAGGCGCGCAAAUUACCCAAUCCCGAUUCGGGGAGGUAGUGACAAUAAAUACUGAUACAGGGCUCUUUUGGGUCUUGUAAUUGGAAUGAGUACAAUUUAAAUCCCUUAACGAGGAACAAUUGGAGGGCAAGUCUGGUGCCAGCAGCCGCGGUAAUUCCAGCUCCAAUAGCGUAUAUUAAAGUUGUUGUGGUUAAAAAGCUCGUAGUUGAACCUUGGGCCUGGCUGGCCGGUCCGCCUCACCGCGUGUACUGGUCCGGCCGGGCCUUUCCCUCUGUGGAACCUCAUGCCCUUCACUGGGUGUGGCGGGGAAACAGGACUUUUACUUUGAAAAAAUUAGAGUGCUCCAGGCAGGCCUAUGCUCGAAUACAUUAGCAUGGAAUAAUGAAAUAGGACGUGUGGUUCUAUUUUGUUGGUUUCUAGGACCGCCGUAAUGAUUAAUAGGGACAGUCGGGGGCAUCAGUAUUCAAUUGUCAGAGGUGAAAUUCUUGGAUUUAUUGAAGACUAACUACUGCGAAAGCAUUUGCCAAGGAUGUUUUCAUUAAUCAGGAACGAAAGUUAGGGGAUCGAAGACGAUCAGAUACCGUCGUAGUCUUAACCAUAAACUAUGCCGACUAGGGAUCGGACGAUGUUAUUUUUUGACGCGUUCGGCACCUUACGAGAAAUCAAAGUGCUU